rnacentral:rRNA from 1 species
CCUACGGGAGACUGCAGUAGGGAAUCUUCCACAAUGGGCGAAAGCCUGAUGGAGCAACGCCGCGUGGGUGAAGAAGGUCUUCGGAUCGUAAAACCCUGUUGUUAGAGAAGAAAGUGCGUGUGAGUAACUGUUCACGUUUCGACGGUAUCUAACCAGCAGGCCACGGCUAACUACGUGCCCGCAGCCGCGGUAGUACGUAGGUGGCAAGCGUAUCCGGAUUUAUUGGGCGUAAAGGGAACGCAGGCGGUCUUUUAAGUCUGAUGUGAAAGCCUUCGGCUUAACCGGCGUAGUGCAUUGGAAACUGGGAGACUUGAGUGCAGAAGAGGAGAGUGGAACUCCAUGUGUAGCGGUGAAAUGCGUAGAUAUAUGGAAGAACACCAGUGGCGAAGGCGGCUCUCUGGUCUGUAACUGACGCUGAGGUUCGAAAGCGUGGGUAGCAAACAGGAUUAGAUACCCGUGUAGUC